CAAAAAUAAGAUGACGCCACAUUAACCCAGUCUCACCUACCUCAUUCUAAUAACAGUUCAGUCUUACUGGUUUCUGACGUAAACUCCUUCUAUCCAUCCAUUCUGAGGAGUGUUUUUCUACAAUAUGACUCAUACAUGCCGUCAGGGAGAACAGCAAAGAUUUAUUGGAGGUGUAAUUUAGUAGAAAGCAUUCAUAAGUAGAACACUCAUAAAUGCAAUUCUUAGAAGACUGCUGUGAGCAGAAGUGGGGCUGUACACAGAGAGCUUUGAAAUCUGCUAGUCAGACUUUGCAUUGUGUGUAGAGAUGCACAGAGUUAAAACUCCCUCUAUAGAAUGCAUGAAACCAGGGAUCAGUUCAAACUUAGAGAAACAUUGUUAGAAAGUCACAAUCUCUUUUCAAAAACCUAAUUCUUUGGGUUUCAUUUUUUUCCUUUUUAAGUUAAAAACAGCUGUGUGACAUUAUAGUCAAACAUUUUCUUCUGAGGAACUUAAACACAGCUGCUGGGUUAUUCCCUAGAUGUUAUUUCCUGAACACAAGAAAUUGCAAAUUCAAAAGCAAAAUAGCUAAAGUUGUAAAAUUAGCUGGGUUGAAGAAUUUUCCCAAUAAUUCUAAUUUUGGCUCAGCUAUGUAUUCUCACAGCAGACCUUAGCAGAGUCCUGUUAAAAUGUAACUUGCUGGAGCACUGUGCAAUAAUUACCGAGAGCUGUUCCACGACAGUGGAGUUCACUCUAAUAGACACCCAGAAUGAGUUCACAGCUCUAAUUUUAAUAGCGUUCCUUUAGAUAUUUUAAAAUGUUAAAACCAUUACAUGUAGCUGCAGCUAGUGUUUCCUUUGUUGCAGUCAUACAUUAGAAUACCACAUAUCUGGUACUCACAUGGCACCAUUUAAAUAAAAAAAAUCAUAGAUAUAAUACCAGAAGCCCCUCAUGCUCAUAUUUUUAAAACCAGUGAAUGAAAGCAAGGGAUGUCACACCUGGUACACCAAAAGGGACAGAACCGACUACACUCUGCUCAAUUCUGGAACUUUAGAACUGAGGCCACGGCGUAGUAUAACCUAGUGUACCAUUAUUAAAUGUGUGGACAGAAAAGUAAACAAUUUUUUCCAUGGAAACUGCAAGUCACAUGCAGGGAGGUGUGGCUAUGUCUGUUUAAACAAAUGAUUUAACUCCUAAAUGGAAGAGAAUGUAGCAGUGAGAAUUCAGGGGCAUGAUCUAUACACCAAAAACACAUUAAAGUUGUUUUGGCACUUAAGUGUCCCUUUAAGUUAUUGAUUCUCAGAGUUAUUCACUAAAAACUAAGGAUUUUCGCGCAAAUCAAUUCCAACAAUGCCAGUGUCACAGAUUUUGCCAUUCAGAAAAAUGUGAAAAUUCAGAGUAUAGUGGAUAACCCUACAAGGAAACUGUUCUUCUAUUCCAGUGUUCAAC